rnacentral:rRNA from 1 species
AUGGCUCCAUCCACCAUCACCGCCACGCUGCUGCUCCUGCUCGCGUGCCUCGUCGCGGGGCAAACCGUGCACGCAGCUCGCGGCCUUCUUCAGCAUGUAGAGGCACCAUCGCCUCUCCAGGGUGUUUCUGGUUGGGCCCACGAUCAUGACCUGGCGGAGGCUCCGGUGGCGGCGCCGAAUUCAGCACCAGCUCCUGCUGAAUCGGCGCCGUCGUCGACCCUGGGGUUCCUGUGGAGGACGAUAUGGUGGUUCGACGAGCCCUACUUCUACCGCCGGGCUCCUGGUCCUGGGUCAAUAAGACAUCCAUAUUGA